rnacentral:rRNA from 1 species
UACGUAGGGGGCAAGCGUUGUCCGGAAUCAUUGGGCGUAAAGCGCGUGUAGGCGGCUUGGUAAGUCUGCUCUGAAAGCCCGGGGCUCAACCCCGGGAGGCGGGUGGAUACUGUCAAGCUCGAGUCCGGAAGAGGAGUGUGGAAUUCCUGGUGUAGCGGUGAAAUGCGCAGAUAUCAGGAGGAACACCAAUGGCGAAGGCAGCACUCUGGGACGGGACUGACGCUGAGACGCGAAAGCGUGGGGAGCAAACAGG